GUUUAAAGAUUUCAGCUGUCUCUCUAUUCCCUAUUUUCAUACUAUAAUACAUGAGCUUUCUGUGUUCCCUUAUCUGGACCAUCUUAAUUUGUCAUUUGGUGACUUCCUGUUUUACUCAAAUUGGUGCUUGGUUGAGGCUCCCUCAUCAUGAAUUACUGCAUCAGUCAUGGAGGCAUCUUGCAGCAGUGCUGGGGUGUUAUUGAUUUGAUAGUGGCCUUCAUCUCAUCUGUAUUUUGGGGUUGGGAGGUUCUUACCUUCCUCUUGAGAAUACCUAAUUCCCUGCAGGCUCCAGAUCAGGCGAGUUGGCUAGCCAAUCAAGCCUAGUAACAUUAUUAGUUGGUCAAACUAUUUGGUGGUAGUGUUGGCAAGCUUUCAGCAGAUGGGAGCCUAAAGUGCUCUAAAAUCUCCUGGUAGACACUGUGUUGACUUUGUACUUGAUAAAACAGUGAUGCACCAGCAACACCAGCAGAUGACAUGGCAUCCCAAAUCACCGCAGACUGCAGAAACUUCACCCUGGACUUCAAACACCUUGGACUCUGUGCCUCUCCACACUCCAGGACCUUGAGUUCCUAAUAAAAUGCAAAAUUUACUUUCAUCUGAAAAAGAACUUUGGACUUGCGAUGUUCUCUCUGGCUCAGCAGUGGCUCAAUAUUAGGAAUGUAACAGCUGUAGCAUCUUUUGUGUAGACGUCUUUGCGUGGUGGCUCUUGAUGCACUGACGCCAGCCUUAGUCCACUCUCGUGAAGCUUCCCAGCAACACAUCAUCAUCUUGUGUUUCUCAUGAACGGCUGCGAAUCUUCCCAAAGAGACACCAAUGGAGCGCUUUCGUAUCUUCACACUAUGUUAAUUUCUCAUAAAUCAAACAUCUUGUUAUAACAAGAAAGAACAGAAAAGGUUUUAUUUGCAAAAAUUGUCCAAACAAGCUCACUUUCUUUAACUGUUAAAAAUUUGAUGUCCAUGUGACAUUUAG